rnacentral:tRNA from 1 species
CUUCCUAUGGUGUAGUGGUCUGCACAUCUGUGAUAUAAUUCACAGAAGGUCUGCGUUCGAGUCGCAGUGGGGGUU